AUACCAGGGGCAUUUGAGGCUGCGGCCCACACUAAGUCCCAGCGCGCAGUGUCACGCGAAACCGAAAAUCAGUUUGCUUUGCGGAGGGGUGGGGAAGCAACAGCCAAACAAAGAGAUGCCGGCACGCUCGCUGUCACAGAGCUCGCUGGGAGCCCACCGAGCAGUCUUGGCGCCAGGAGGCCGCGGGAGAGUUGGCUUUCUUUGUGAAAUUUCGCACCAGAGGAAAAAUGUGAUUUUUCAAGCAGAAAAGAACUAUUGUGAGAGUUAGCUCAUUUUGGGCCCAGGAUGAAUUUUAAGCCCCAGAGAAGAAACUGAAAUAUGCUUUAAGGAGAAAUAAUACAGCUCAGGUCAUGAUCUCAUGGUUCCUGGAAUUGAGACCUGCAUCCAGCUCAUGCUGACAGAGCGGAGCCUGCUUGAGAUUCUCUCUCUCCCUCUCUCUCUCUCUCUGCCCCUCCCCGCCUUGUGUGUGCACGUGCUCACUCUCUCUCUCUCUCAAAAUAA